rnacentral:lncRNA from 1 species
AGCUGCCUCCAUGGCCCUGUGGCAGUCCUUCCUCCACUGUCAUCUCGCCAUCAUGUGCCCAUUAGUCUUCCUGGCGACAGGGACUGCUUCCACCUCCCCGGGCUGCCGCUGCGAGGGAAACCAAUCAAAACCUCCAUGGACGGUUCUGAUCAAUGACUCCAGGGCUACACUCUUACCUCCAUCGUCGUAUCUAUCGGCUUAACCUUUUAGAUUAAUCGAGCUGACAUCUUGCCUGUGUUCUCAUCUCUCAGAAACAUUCCAGUGUCCUUCAUCUUUGUUAGGAGUCGAUGCAGUGCAGGCGAGCAAUUGAAAUCUUUCCUCAGAACUCCCUCGGUUCCAGGUAAGUAGUAUUGCUUUACCUGGGAUUCCAGAGUAGUAGUUAAUGGAGAAACUAAUACUCCCUGUAAUGGAUUUCUUGCGUUGCACUUAAUCUCUCAUGUACUUUUUGCCGCAUCUUUAAGGGUACAAGCACAUAUGGUUGAUAAGAAAGGGAC